rnacentral:lncRNA from 1 species
AAAAGGUUUUCCACCGGCGCUUCCUGAUAUUCCUGCGCCGUUCUUGCCGCCGAUCGGUGGAGGUAUUUUACCUCCUCUUCCGGUGCCGGAUGUACCCAUGCCACCUCUAAUUCCCCCGCUACCACAGCUCCCUGGUAUUCCACUUCCACCUGUUACCCGCCAAAAAUCAUCGGAAUCCGAUAGAUUGGCCGAUCAAAAAAGUUUUGGUUUCCCGUUUCCACCGCCACUGUUCCCACCGCUGCCGUUUGUGCCAUCGCCGCCGUCAUUGAUUCCUCCCGUCAUUCCAACACCACCACCGUCACUGUUCCCUCCCCUCGUUCCAUCAACACCACCAUCAUUGUUUCCUCCCCUCGUUCCAUCACCACCAUCAUCGAUGUUUCCACCAUUGCCCUUUCCACCUGUACCAGGUUUGAUUCCAUCACCGCCGCCGCCACCACCGCCGGCGUUCCCAAUUCCUCUGCCUCCACUACCUCCGCUACCUCCGCUACCUCCAGUACCUCCGGUACCAGGAGUCCCACCGGCGAAAACCUCCCCUUGAUUAAACUCGUAUAUAUUUAAUAUUAUUACUGCAUAACCUUUUGAAGUAACCUUUCCAUACAUACGCGCGUAUUACAAUUAUGGGUAUUGUAAUUGUAGCAUGAAUAAAUCGUACAUGGUAAAAUGGUUGGGAUUCCUAUAAAUAGUUUAAAAUUUUUGAGAUCCAAUUAUGCGUUCUGAGUAUUGUUUAAUAGAUAGCAUU